rnacentral:rRNA from 1 species
GACGAACGCUGGCGGCGUGCUUAACACAUGCAAGUCGAACGGAAAGGCCCUGCUUUUGUGGGGUGCUCGAGUGGCGAACGGGCGAGUAACAUGUGUGUAACCUGCCCUUGACUUUGGGAUAACUUCAGGAAACUGGGGCUAAUAUCGGAUAGGCGCUCCUGCUGUAUGGUGGGGGUUGGAUAGUUUCGGCGGUUGGGGCUGGGCUCGCGGCUUAUCAGCUUGUUGGUGGGGUAGUGGCUUACCAAGGCUUUGACGGAUAGCCGGCCUGACUGGGUGACCGGCCACAUUGGGACUGAGAUGCGGCCCAGACUCCUACUGGAGGCAGCAGUGGGGAAUAUUGCACAAUGGGCGGAAGCCUGAUGCAGCAACGCCGCGUGCGGGAUGACGGCCUUCGGGUUGUAAACCGCUUUCGCCUGUGACGAAGCGUGAGUGACGGUAAUGGGUAAAGAAGCACCGGCUAACUACGUG